GCGAAAGUGGCGGAAUUGGUAGACGCGCUGGAUUUAGGUUCCAGUGGGGAAACCCGUGGGAGUUCGAGUCUCCCCUUUCGCACCA
rnacentral:tRNA from 2 species